AACGCGAAGAACCUUACCUGGGUUUGGCAUGCCCUGAAUGCAGUAGAGAUAUUGCAGGCCCGAAAGGGACAGGAGCACAGGUGCUGCAUGGCUGUCGUCAGCUCGUGUCGUGAGAUGUUGGGUUAAGUCCCGCAACGAGCGCAACCCUUGUCCUUAGUUGCCAGCAUUAAGUUGGGCACUCUAAGGAGACUGCCAACGUUAAGUUGGAGGAAGGUGGGGAUGACGUCAAGUCCUCAUGGCCUUUAUAUCCAGGGCAACACACGUUCUACAAUGGUCGGUACAAAGCGACGCGAAAUCGUGAGAUGGAGCAAACCGCAAAAAACCGAUCUAAGUUCGGAUUGGAGUCUGCAACUCGACUCCAUGAAGUUGGAAUCGCUAGUAAUCGCGGAUCAGAAUGCCGCGGUGAAUACGUUCCCGGGCCUUGUACACACCGGCUAC
rnacentral:rRNA from 1 species